rnacentral:lncRNA from 1 species
CUCUCUUCCAUGUCACUUUACUAUAAGCCAUUACAAUAAAACAGAGAAAAUAAAAUGGAGCCACCAGUCCAGUCUUGUAACGAUCACAAACAAUGGCAUUAUCUACUUCGAUAAUCCUAGUGAAGGACGAGUGAGCUCUUUCCCUAAUCUGGCAAGAGGAGGAAACUUUUCCAUCCUCAUCCAUGAUCUGCAGGCUUCAGACAUCGGCACCUAUUUUUGUGAGCUGAACAGUGAAUGCUGGAGGGUGAAGAUCAUGGAAUUGCCAAGUAAGAUUAGUUCUUUCAAAUUUAGCAGGAAUCAUAUAAUGGCCUGUAUUUUAUUGGAGACAAAUAAUAAAUUAAGACAAAAUUAGCUGGAUGAUUUUACAUGUUUUUACAACAUCAUUUGUCUUUUUCAGAAACUGAACAGCUGAACUCUAAUCGCAACUCCUGGUUAUUCUUUUUUGCUGGAGCUGGAAUUUUCACUCUGCUUUUUAUUAUAUUCAAUCGCACUGGCUUACAAACCCGUUUGCAGUCCUCGACAGAAAAAUGCAUGAGAUCAUCCAAAUCUAACUCUACGAAUGAAGAACACCAUGAAGAACAUGGUUCUUCAAGUCAAACAUCUAAUAUCCAACAGCGAGCAUUCAGAAAUCCAGAUCCAAAUGAUUUUACGACAUCUACAGUAUACUAUGUCAUCCAGGCAUAAUACUUCAAUUUAGAAGGUGCCGGCAAGAGGGGAAAAUAAAAAUCAUGAUUUCCUAUUUCAGAUUAUAAUUCUGUUAUUUUGUCUAUCAGUAAAUACUGUUGUCCUUU